rnacentral:lncRNA from 1 species
CCAAAGUUGCAUUUUAAUGCAAAUUUUACCAAACGGUAUUUGCAUUUCGAAAACCCCCUUGAGCCAAAGGUAUUUGCAUUUUGGCAAAUGCAUUCCCCCAAAGCCGAACCAAACGGGCCCAUAAUCAUCUGCAUUUGAUGACGCAUGAUGCUCGUUACGCAUCGAUUUAGGUUGUACCGAUGUUCGAGAAUCUCGCGACGACAAGUGAGAACUGAUCAAUCAUUCGGCAAAAAGAAGAGAGGUGGCUGUAUUGACGUAACAUUGUUACGAUACGAUUAAGGAGACUAGGACCCGGUUUGCCUCAUUAGAUAAGUAGUAAGUUCAACCAAACACCAAAGUAAUCCUUCCAUCAAACGGCACUGUCCUUAACCGGGGGAACUGAGCCAACCUGUGAUUGAGGACAGUGCCGUAAGGCGUGUUAACCCAGCCGUGGACAUCUAAUCUACCUUCACUCAUUUCAGGUACGGGAGAUUACUAUACUUGUUUAUCCGAUAGUAGCCAGAACCGAAGUUCUGAUGUGGUGUUUAUCUUUACCACCGUGAAAUUUCCUAAUUUCCUGUCUAUUUUUAUUUUCCUGACAGAGAGGGAAUAAGAAGACAGCGCGAGGUUUCUCAUCCCAGGGCGAUUCUCCCGCCUGUUUUUUCCAUGAGCCUUUUAAGGACUUGCUCACGUCCGAAACUGUCCUAUCACGGAAGAAAAAUUGCCGAAACUUGUUCCUUCUGGUUGCCAUUUCGAGCAAGCACGACCGACGCUGCACGUGCUUGCGGAUUGAGAAAAUUUGU